rnacentral:rRNA from 1 species
UGGGGAAUAUUGGACAAUGGGCGCAAGCCUGAUCCAGCCAUGCCGCGUGAGUGAUGAAGGCCCUAGGGUUGUAAAGCUCUUUCACCGGUGAAGAUAAUGACGGUAACCGGAGAAGAAGCCCCGGCUAACUUCGUGCCAGCAGCCGCGGUAAUACGAAGGGGGCUAGCGUUGUUCGGAUUUACUGGGCGUAAAGCGCACGUAGGCGGACUUUUAAGUCAGGGGUGAAAUCCCGGGGCUCAACCCCGGAACUGCCUUUGAUACUGGAAGUCUUGAGUAUGGGAGAGGUGAGUGGAAUUCCGAGUUUAGAGGUGAAAUUCGUAGAUAUUCGGAGGAACACCAGUGGCGAAGGCGGCUCACUGGACCAUUACUGACGCUGAGGUGCGAAAGCGUGGGGAGCAAACAGG